CUUCUUCAAUUUGCUGUGGACAGAUAAAGUGAAUGUGGGAGUCGAUACCACCAGCCGUGAGAAUAUUACCCUCACCAGCAAGCACUUCUGUGCCAGGCCAAUGAUAAUAUCAACGCCAGGUUGAACGUCUGGAUUACCUGCCUUACCCAGCGCCUGAAUGCGGCCAUUUUUAUAGCGACAUCCGCUUUCACAAUGCCCCAAUAAUCGAGAACCACCGCAUUGGUGAUCACGAGAUCGGGUGUUUCUGCACUUGGGCGCUGGCUUUGUCCCAUCCCAUCGCGGAU
rnacentral:sRNA from 1 species